rnacentral:rRNA from 1 species
ACCGCAUGAUGUCGCAAGACCAAAGUGGGGGACCUUARGGCCUCACGCCAUGAGAUGAACCCAGAUGAGAUUAGCUAGUAGGUGCGGUAAUGGCGUACCUAGGCGACGAUCUCUAGCUGGUCUGAGAGGAUGACCAGCCACACUGGAACUGAGAGACGGUCCAGACUCCUACGGGAGGCAGCAGUGGGGAAUAUUGCACAAUGGGCGGAAGCCUGAUGCAGCCAUGCCGCGUGUGUGAAGAAGGCCUUAGGGUUGUAAAGCACUUUCAGCGGGGAGGAAGGCGGUAAGAGUAAUAUGCUUAUCRAUUGACGUUACCCGCAAAAGAAGCACCGGCUAACUCCGUGCCAGCAGCCGCGGUAAUACGGAGGGUGCGAGCGUUAAUCGGAAUAACUGGGCGUAAAGRGCAUGUAGGCGGUAAGUUAAGUCAGAUGUGAAAUCCCCGAGCUUAACUUGGGAACGGCAUUUGAGACUGGCUGGCUAGAGUUUUGUAGAGGGGGGUAGAAUUCCAGGUGUAGCGGUGAAAUGCGUAGAGAUCUGGAGGAAUACCGGUGGCGAAGGCGGCCCCCUGGACAAGGACUGACGCUGAGGUGCGAAAGCGUGGGUAGCAAACAGGAUUAGAUACCCUGGUAGUCCACGCUGUAAACGAUGUCGAUUUGGAGGUUGUGACCUAGUGUUAUGG